rnacentral:rRNA from 1 species
AUUGAACGCUGGCGGCAGGCCUAACACAUGCAAGUCGAACGAGAGGCGGACGGGUUAGUAAUGUCUGGGAAACUGCCUGAUGUAGGGGGAUCACUACUGGAAACGGUAGCUAAUACCGCAUCCCCUCUGAUGGACCCCAAGUGGCUUAGCUAGUAGGUUGGGUAAAGUCUCCCCUAGGCGACGAUCCCUAGCUGGUCUGAGAGGAUGACCAGCCACACUGGAACUGAGACACGGUCCAGACUCCUACGGGAGGCAGCAGGGGGGAAUAUUGCACAAUGGGCGCAAGCCUGAUGCAGCCAUGCCGCGUGUAUGAAGAAGGCCUUCGGGUUGUAAAGUACUUUCAGCGGGGAGGCGUUACCCGCAGAAGAAGCACCGGCUAACUCCGUGCCAGCAGCCGCGGUAAUUC